AAGGGAGACCUAAUUCAGGUAGGAGACGAAAAAAAAGUAGUCGCUACCAAGAAUCAAUCCCAAAAGGUCGGAGCGAGGCGAAAUUGGCUUUCAAACUAGGUUCCGGGUUCACACAAGACCUGAAUCAGGAACAAGGGCUAUUAGCUCAGGUGGUUAGAGCGCACCCCUGAUAAGGGUGAGGUCCCUGGUUCGAGUCCAGGAUGGCCCACCUGCACAGGUGGCAAAAACAAGAGAAGCGAGGAAUCAGCACCUUAUCUUAUCUAUAUAUAUAUAGGAGAGAAUGCUGGCUCUGAGUAAAGAGUCCAGAGGAACCUUGAAAACUGCAUAGAGCUAGGUGAAAAAGCCAAAAAAGAAGACCGCAAGGUCAAGCUAAUAAGGGCUAACGGUGGAUACCUAGGCAC
rnacentral:tRNA from 1 species